GUGACAGCCGAGGAGACUGAAGUCUUGUAACCCCAGAACAGAUGCAGCGUGGGCCAUGAUAGCUGUGCAAUUUCCCCCAUCAUCACCUUGCCAAUGUGCCUCAACCCUGCAAUGGGCAGGCCUCCUUGGAGGUGGGAGAAGCAUUCAGUCUCAAGCCCUGCUCAGUGUUUGGCCUCU
rnacentral:sRNA from 1 species